AUGCAGAAGCCAUUUCUUUCAACACAGUCACAGUUCCAACUUAUGUCACCACAACAGCAACAGCAACUCUUAGCACAGGCUCAAGUACAAGGGAACCUUAACAACUCAACUAAUUAUGGGGAUAUGGACCCCCGCAGAUUUACGACAUUGACCAGGGGUGGCAUGAAUGGUAAAGACGGACAACCUGCUGGGACUGAUGGCUGCAUUAGUUCCCCAAUGCAAUCAAGUUCACCAAAAAUUAGAGCAGACCAAGAAUAUCUCAUGAAGGUUUGUCUAUUCUGGAAGUUUCUAUUCCUUACAUGGAGUUUGGUCUUAAGAGGUUAUUUUAUUUAG
rnacentral:rRNA from 1 species